UGUAGAUGUGUUUUUUUGCAUAUUGUGCAGAUUGACUUUUUGCACUUUUUCCUGCAGUGUGACUUGUUUGUAGUUCAGUGCAGGAUUAGUGGACUAACUGUGUGUUUCUGACUUUACAGCUUCUGAAAACGGCUCCGAGCUCUCUGCAAAACUGAAUCCAGAAGCCUGAAUGACAAACACACCAACCUGCACACAGUUUAUGGAUAAAUUGUGCACUGAAGCAAAGACAGAUGCCAAAUUCUCCUGACAUCUGUAAACUGUCAAUAAAUUGGUUAUUAAUCAUUCCUGUCAUAAAUUUAGAAUUAUAGUGGUUAUCUGGUUAAUCUUGUAGUUGGUGAUUAGUAAAAUUGGAUUACUGUUAAGAAAACAAAUUUAAAAGGCAUUUUGUCCUAAAAGCAUUAUUUGAAUAUGAAUUGAAAAACAUUUUACAGAUAUAAAAGUUAAAUCUGAUAUUAAAUGAUUUUGAUCAUCGUUUAUGAAACAAAAAGGCAAACAAAUCAUUUCUUCAAUGAUGGUAAAUUCAGUUUGAUUGUUUUUAUUUUUAUUUGGAGAGAUGUAAAGUCAGAUGUGUCAGACAACCAAAACAUCAUAAUGUUCUUCAUACAUACACAAUAUAUUUUUGAGGUUUUGUUGUUUAUGUAAAAUAAAUCCAUAAUAUCCAUAGUUAAAUAUUUCUGGUGGUGGGAUUUACCUGGUAAAAUCACACACAUACACACACACACACACA